GAUGAACGCUAGCUACAGGCUUAACACAUGCAAGUCGAGGGGUAACGAGAGGAAAGCUUGCUUUCCUUGUCGACGACCGGCGCACGGGUGAGUAACGCGUAUCCAACCUGCCCCCAACUAGGGAAUAACCUUGCGAAAGUAAGACUAAUACCCUAUAAUUUCCUCAGAUGACAUCUGACGAGGAAUAAAGAUUUAUCGGUUGUGGAUGGGGAUGCGUCUGAUUAGCUUGUUGGCGGGGUAACGGCCCACCAAGGCAACGAUCAGUAGGGGUUCUGAGAGGAAGGUCCCCCACAUUGGAACUGAGACACGGUCCAAACUCCUACGGGAGGCAGCAGUGAGGAAUAUUGGUCAAUGGGCGGAAGCCUGAACCAGCCAAGUAGCGUGCAGGAUGACGGCCCUAUGGGUUGUAAACUGCUUUUAUACGGGAAUAAAGUUGGCCACGUGUGGUUAUUUGUAGGUACUGUAUGAAUAAGGACCGGCUAAUUCCGUGCCAGCCGCCGCCGUAA
rnacentral:rRNA from 1 species